rnacentral:rRNA from 1 species
CCAGACUCCUACGGGAGGCAGCAGUGGGGGAUAUUGCACAAUGGGGGAAACCCUGAUGCAGCGACGCCGCGUGGGUGAAGAAGUAUUUCGGUAUGUAAAGCCCUAUCAGCAGGGAAGAAAGAAGACGGUACCUGACUAAGAAGCCCCGGCUAACUACGUGCCAGCAGCCGCGGUAAUACGUAGGGGGCGAGCGUUAUCCGGAUUCACUGGGUGUAAAGGGAGCGUAGACGGCCGUGCAAGCCAGGAGUGAAAGCCCGGGGCCCAACCCCGGGACUGCUCUUGGAACUGUGCGGCUGGAGUGCGGGAGGGGCAGGCGGAAUUCCUGGUGUAGCGGUGAAAUGCGUAGAUAUUAGGAAGAACACCAGUGGCGAAGGCGGCUUACUGGACAGUAACUGACGUUGAGGCUCGAAAGCGUGGGGAGCAAACAGGAUUAGAUACCCGCGUA